rnacentral:rRNA from 1 species
AACGAACGCUGGCGGCAGGCCUAACACAUGCAAGUCGAGCGAGACCUUCGGGUCUAGCGGCGGACGGGUGAGUAACGCGUGGGAACGUGCCCUUUGCUACGGAAUAGCCCCGGGAAACUGGGAGUAAUACCGUAUGUGCCCUUCGGGGGAAAGCUUUAGCGGCAAAGGAUCGGCCCGCGUUGGAUUAGGUAGUUGGUGGGGUAAUGGCCUACCAAGCCGACGAUCCAUACCUGGUUUGGGAGGAUGAUCAGCCACACUGGGACUGAGACACGGCCCAGACUCAUAAGGGAGGAAGCAGGGGGGAAUCUUAGACAAGGGGGGAAACCCUGAUCUAGCCAUGCCGCGUGAGCGAUGAAGGCCUUAGGGUUGUAAAGCUCUUUCAGGUGGGAAGAUAAUGACGGUACCACCAGAAGAAGCCCCGGCUAACUCCGUGCCAGCCGCCGCAGUAA